ACUAUCAACUUUGACUAGACUUACACAUGCAAGCAUCCGCACCCCCGUGAGAAUGCCCUCUAGUUCCCUGUUUGGGAACAAGGAGCUGGUAUCAGGCACAAAUUUUUUUGGCCCAUGACGCCUUGCUUAGCCACACCCCCAAGGGAAUUCAGCAGUGAUAGACAUUAAGCCAUAAGUGAAAACUUGACUUAGUCAAAGCCAAGAGGGCCGGUAAAUCUCGUGCCAGCCACCGCGGUUAUACGAGAGGCUCAAGUUGAUAGAUGCCGGCGUAAAGCGUGGUUAGGGUAAAAACUAAACUAAAGCCAAACGCCUUCAGAGCUGUUAUACGCUUACGAAGGGCAGAGACACAACCACGAAAGUGGCUUUAUACGGCCUGACCCCACGAAAGCUAGGGCACAAACUGGGAUUAGAUACCCCACUAUGCCUAGCCGUAAACAUUGAUAGCACAUUACAUCUGCUAUCCGCCCGGGUACUACGAGCAUCAGCUUAAAACCCAAAGGACUUGGCGGUGCUUUAGAUCCACCUAGAGGAGCCUGUUCUAGAACCGAUAAUCCCCGUUAAACCUCACCUUUCCUUGUUUUCCCCGCCUAUAUACCGCCGUCGUCAGCUUACCCUACGAAGGUCCCACAGUAAGCAAAAUUGGCACAGCCCAGAACGCCAGGUCGAGGUGUAGCGUAUGGGAAGGGAAGAAAUGGGCUACAUUCAAUAUCUCAAUGAAUACGAAUGGGGGACUGAAAUGCCCCCCUGAAGGAGGAUUUAGCAGUAAGCAGGAAAUAGAGCGUCCCGCUGAAAUUGGCCCUGAAGCGCGUACACACCGCCCGUCACUCUCCCCGAGUCUACAAACUGACAUACCUAAUACCUUAAAACUGCAAAGGGGAGGCA
rnacentral:ncRNA from 1 species